rnacentral:rRNA from 1 species
AUUGAACGCUGGCGGCAGGCCUAACACAUGCAAGUCGAACGGACCCUUCGGGGUUAGUGGCGGACGGGUGAGUAACACGUGGGAACGUGCCUUUAGGUUCGGAAUAGCUCCUGGAAACGGGUGGUAAUGCCGAAUGUGCCCUUCGGGGGCAAGAUUUAUCGCCUUUAGAGCGGCCCGCGUCUGAUUAGCUAGUUGGUGAGGUAAAGGCUCACCAAGGCGACGAUCAGUAGCUGGUCUGAGAGGAUGGCCAGCCACAUUGGGACUGAGACACGGCCCAAACUCCUACGGGAGGCAGCAGUGGGGAAUCUUGCGCAAUGGGCGAAAGCCUGACGCAGCCAUGCCGCGUGUAUGAUGAAGGUCUUAGGAUUGUAAAAUACUUUCACCGGUGAAGAUAAUGACUGUAGCCGGAGAAGAAGCCCCGGCUAACUUCGUGCCAGCCGCCGCUGUAAGAC